rnacentral:rRNA from 1 species
UACGAAGGGGGCUAGCGUUGUUCGGAUUUACUGGGCGUAAAGCGCACGUAGGCGGAUCGAUCAGUCAGGGGUGAAAUCCCAGAGCUCAACUCUGGAACUGCCUUUGAUACUGCAAGUCUUGAGUCCGAUAGAGGUGAGUGGAAUUCCUAGUGUAGAGGUGAAAUUCGUAGAUAUUAGGAAGAACACCAGUGGCGAAGGCGGCUCACUGGAUCGGUACUGACGCUGAGGUGCGAAAGCGUGGGGAGCAAACAGG